GUGUUUGUGUUAUUUUUUAUGUUUUUGUUGGGUUAUGUUAAUGUUUUUGUUGAUGUAUGUUUUUGUUUUUGUAUAGAUCAUAUAUUGUUAUUUAUGUUAUUGUUUAGGUAUGUUGUCAUUUUUGUUGAGGUAUGUUGUUGUUUUAUUAAGGUAAAUAGUUGUUUUUGUUAUUGUAGAUAUUUUUUUAUGUGGUAUGUUAUUUUUGUUUUAGGUAUGUUAU
rnacentral:lncRNA from 1 species